GCUGCCCCCAGAUCUCUUCUGCGACCUCCAGGGUGGCAGUGCUCACAGGGAGUUGCCGCUCCCUGUGGCUCGCUGGGGCGUGGGUAGCACAGCUCCGAAGCAGGAAUGAAGGACUGAGGUGAAGAAAUAGGAAGACACCACUUGUAUGAAUUCCAAGCCCGGGAUGCAACAAUACCCUGUGCCUGAGAGGAUAUUCCAGGUGCUUCAUGAGCUCUGUCAGGCUGGUGCUGUGAUCACUUCCCUGGGGAGCCUGUUCCAGGUAAACUUGGAACCACCUGUGAACCACCAUCCAGGUGCUCUUCUCAGCUACCAUUGAAUAAAUCUUAACUGGC